rnacentral:rRNA from 1 species
UACGCAGGGUGCAAGCGUUAAUCGGAAUUACUGGGCGUAAAGGGUGCGUCGGCGGUUCGCUAAGUCUGUCUUGAAAUCCCCGGGCUCAACCUGGGAAUGGCGAUGGAUACGGGCGAGCGAGAGUGUGUCAGAGGAUGGUGGAAUUCCCGGUGUAGCGGUGAAAUGCGUAGAGAUCGGGAGGAACAUCAGUGGCGAAGGCGGCCAUCUGGGACAACACUGACGCUGAAGCACGAAAGCGUGGGGAGCAAACAGG